rnacentral:rRNA from 1 species
UUUAUUGGACAAUGGGCGCACGCCUGAUCCAGCCAUGUUGCGUCUGUGAAGAAGGUUUUCGGAUUGUAAAGCUAUCUAGCUAGGGAGGCAGGGCAGCUAACGAAUACAUAACUGUUUUGACGUUACCCACAGAAUAGACCCCGGCUAACUUCGUUCCCGCAGCCGCGGUAAUACGAAGGGUGCAAGCGUUAAUCGGAAUUACUGGGCGUAAGUCGCGCGUAGGUGGUUCGUUAAGUUGGAAGUGAAAGACCCGGGCUCAACCUGGGAAUUGCUUUCAAAACUGGCGAGCUAGAGUACGGUAGAGGGUGGUGGAAUUUCCUGUGUAGCGGUGAAAUGCGUAGAUAUAGGAAGGAACAUCAGUGGCGAAGGCGACCACCUGGACUGAUACUGACACUGAGGUGCGAAAGCGUGGGGAGCAAACAGG